UACGUAGGGUGCGAGCGUUGUCCGGAAUUAUUGGGCGUAAAGAGCUCGUAGGCGGCCUGUCGCGUCGAUUGUGAAAGCCCGGGGCUUAACCCCGGGUCUGCAGUCGAUACGGGCAGGCUAGAGUUCGGUAGGGGAGUCUGGAAUUCCUGGUGUAGCGGUGAAAUGCGCAGAUAUCAGGAGGAACACCGGUGGCGAAGGCGGGACUCUGGGCCGAUACUGACGCUGAGGAGCGAAAGCGUGGGGAGCGAACAGG
rnacentral:rRNA from 1 species